AUGGUUAAAACACAUAAACUUUAGAACAAAACAAAGUUGGGGGACUAAACUUGUUAAAUUGAAAAAGCUGGUUAAUAAUUGUAACAAAACCAACCAAACACACCAAAAUUGGUGUGUCUGGUCGAUCAGGAGCAAGAAAGGGGCGACCCCCAUCCCUCAAACCCUAGAAUCUUCACAAAAUUCACAAAUUGAGGCUGCAAAUCUGCUUCAAAUCAAGUUCUAAACACGAAUUAACGAUCACCUAAUCAUAGUGAUCAACAGGCAAAGAGUCCGGAUCGUCAAGCGGACAAACCGAAGGGAAUCCACGGGGAAAGGGCGUGCUCUAAAGUUUUCAGGUAUUCAAGAAAAAGGAUGAUGAUCAAGCAUAACUAUCCGAACCGAACACUCUAGCAAACGCUUCCGCA